rnacentral:rRNA from 1 species
GUCGAACGAAGGACCCCUGAAGGAGUUUUCGAACAACGGAAGGGAAUCCUUAGUGGCGGACGGGUGAGUAACGCGUGAGGAACCUGCCUUGGAGUGGGGAAUAACACAUGGAAACAUGUGCUAAUACCGCAUGACGCAUAGGAUCCGCAUGGAUUUUAUGCCAAAGAUUGUAUCGCUCUGAGAUGGCCUCGCGUCUGAUUAGCUAGUUGGUGGGGUAAUGGCCCACCAAGGCGACGAUCAGUAGCCGGACUGAGAGGUUGACCGGCCACAUUGGGACUGAGAACGGCCCAGACUCCUACGGGAGGCAGCAGUGGGGAAUAUUGGGCAAUGGGCGAAAGCCUGACCCAGCAACGCCGCGUGAAGGAAGAAGGCCCUCGGGUUGUAAACUUCUUUUAUUGAGGAAGAAACAAAUGACGGUACUCAAUGAAUAAGCCACGGCUAACUACGUGCCAGCAGCCGCGGUAAUACGUAGGUGGCAAGCGUUAUCCGGAUUUACUGGGUGUAAAGGGCGUGUAGGCGGGAGAGCAAGUCAGGCGUGAAAACUAUGGGCUUAACCCAUAGCUUGCGUUUGAAACUGCGCUUCUUGAGUGAUGGAGAGGCAGGCGGAAUUCCUAGUGUAGCGGUGAAAUGCGUAGAUAUAGGAAGGAACAUCAGUGGCGAAGGCGACCACCUGGACUGAUACUGACACUGAGGUGCGAAAGCGUGGGGAGCAAACAGGAUCAGAUACCCUGGUAGUCCACGCCGUAAACGAUGAGUACUAAGUGUUGGAGAAAUUCAGUGCUGUAGUUAACGCAAUAAGUACUCCGCCUGAGUAGUACGUGCGCAAGCAUGAAACUCAAAGGAAUUGACGGGACCCCGCACAA